rnacentral:misc_RNA from 1 species
AGGUCAUUAACCAAGUUAACGGCGGGGUACAUCCGCGAGGAUCAUUAAUGAGAUGGCAGUCCCCUCGGGUAGACCUCCCACCCCUGUUUACCGUACCCGUUGCUUUGGCGGUCCCCGUCGCGAGACGGGCCGCCAGAGAACCCUUUAAACCCGUAUUAUCAUUGUCGUCUGAGUACUAUACAAUAGUUAAAA